AAGACUAUAGACCUGCGGAGUACCUGCGGAAGGAUCAUUAUUGAAUAACUUGGAUGCUGAUGCUGGCGUGAAAGCGCACUGUGCUCGCGUUCAUCUUAUUUUCAAAUCCCUUUGUGCACCUUUCUAGUCUCGAAUUCGAAAAGGAACCUCUCACACUCGAUCACCUACAUCUUUGGGUAAACCGAAGCGUUGGAUGUGCUUGAGCGCUUUCAUUAGCGUUCUCACUAGUCCUAUGUUCUU
rnacentral:misc_RNA from 1 species